UAAGUUAACUUAUACACAACAUUCAAAACUUCUCCAUUUGCUGUAACCAAUGAUUCCACAUACGCAUGGUGUGGUGAUGGCUGAUGGAGGACCUGUGUUUUAUUGGUGUUAAUUGUUAGGCCAAAAUUAGCACAAGCAACACAGAAUCAAUCCAUAUAUUGUUGCAUCUCAGCUUCAGAGGCUGCAUUGAGUGCACGAUCAUCUGCAAAUAGGAAAUCAUGCUCCACACUCCUUCCACUUUGGUCUUGGCUUGUAGCCUUUUCAAGUUGAAUAAUUUACCAUCAGUGUGGUAGCUGACCUUGAUGCUGAGUUUGUCCUCAUUGAAGGCACUUGAUAGCAUAGCUGAAAACAUGCUAAAGAGCAUGGGAGCAAGCACAUAGCCUUGUUUCACUCCACUGGUGACAGGAAAAGCACCAGAGCAUUGUCCAUUAUUCAGAACCCAGGUAAACAUUCUAUCAUGAAAUUGAUGUACAAUACUGAUGAACUUCUCUGGGCAACCAAAUUUUGACAUAAUUUUCCAUAAGCCCUCACAGCUGAAAGUAUCAAAUGCCUUGGUCAAAUUUACAAACCCAUAUCUCAAGGUUAAUGACCACCUAUGGACUGGAAGAUUAUGCCUCUUCAAGGACAGAAUCUUCCUCUCUGCAAGUGAAUAUAUGAGGCAGCAAAUGUGACAUUCUCGAGGCAGAUAGCAACGGGGUGUUGUAAUCUGUUCAGGGUAGAAUGAAGAGGACACAUCACUCUAGAGUCCUCAAGCAUUAUCGCUGUCCAAUUUAGGGUCUAGGCUGGACAGUUGGCAACGAGGCAUUAGUUUGGGACAUGGAUGGGUAGAAGGAAUGUUUGGCUGGAUGACCUUGCUUGCACACUGCCAAGCGGGAGUGUAUUUAAACAUCAUCUCUUGGUAGGAUUACCAGGGUGGUGGCUGUAGGAAUCACAACUAUGUGAGGUCGAUGGAAAUGUGCUAUAGAAAUUAAGGGAGAAGCAGUAUGGUAGAGGGGAGGGCAUGCGAUUUGGGGUCGUUGAACCUGGGUUUGGCUAGUCCCGGACUAGGCGUGAAAUGGAAAAGGGAGCUGGAAUAGCUUGUUUCCUGUUAUAUCUUACUUUCUCAGCAAUAUUCCGUCACUCUAAAAAUGCCAUUUUUUGUCUUCUUCAGUCUUUUUUAUUGCGCAGAGCUCUUACAAGGCAAUGGGGCAUGUAAAUAGCCAGUAAUCCGAGGCAUCUGUGAAGUGCCGGCUCCCCAUCACAGCGAUCAGGGCGCCCUGAUUUCUCUUCCUGGUAGGUGGGUUUCGGCAUAGCUUGUGGAGGCCUUUGAAGGAGAAACACAAAAGAAAGCAAGUAGAGGAGAAAGGGAAGAAGAAAUGAAAGGGAAAGUGCGAAAGGGAGGAGAAUUAUGCAAAUGUUGAGCAAGCGAGGAGGCAAGGACUUCUGGGAGGCAGGAAAGUGUCUUCUUCCCCGAAGAAAGAGCUAAAAUCUGGAAAUUGCAGAUGGUCAGCACAUCUAGAGUGCAAUCUGGCCCUGGGACAACGACCUUCAUGAUCAUGGAAUCACCCCUCUCAGGGAAGGCAAGAAAGAACAGAGUGAACUGCGCUCCACAGCUAGGCUGGUUUGACAAUUAAUGGAUCAUCAGUGCUGCAGGCAACAAUGGAUUAAGAAGCUUGGCUAAGCACUGCCACCUUGGCUUCUUAGGUUUUUUGUAAUGAGGAAAGACACUUUUUGCUGAAUUGGGAUUUCCUGUAUUUUCAAGACUAGAUGGUUUUUUUUAACCGAUGCAUGAAGCUUUGGUUCAAGGUGAUAAAUAUUGUUCUAGGUAUAAGUCAUCAAAAGAGACACUUCUCCUAUACUCCUAUCAUCACCACUUAAGCAUAAGUCAUAGACACAAGGAGGUGUGGGUGCAGCCCUUUAGAGUGCCUGAGGUUCUAUUAACCAGAUCAUUCCAGGCCUGAAAAAGGCACUUUGACUAGACUUGGUGACUUCCAUCCCAAAGACUGAAAGCCACAGUCCUCCAUACAACCCUUCUGUUCAAAAACAGACACAGUGUCUCUAAGACAGCCAAAAGAGUCAAAAUUUCCACCAUCCAGCAGCUGUCCCAGCAGUAUCAGGGUCAACGAGAAGGUAUUGAAGUGUAUAUUGUGAUACAUUGGUCUUGGGAGGGCUCUUGGGGCUUGAAAUUCCAGCAAUGAACCAGUACUUUGAAAGUUUAUUGUAAACUUGGCAAUCAUCAAUAUUUGAACAUACAAAGAAGAUUAUAGAUGAAGCUGCUUAGUGUUUCUCUAGGUUUUGUUUAUUCCUAGAGUGUACUUAUCCCAUUCUCUAAUUUUUUAUUCUUAUGUUUUCAAAGGUAGAUGGUUUUAUCUGUGCAAUCCUGAUUCUUCAUUAAUGUCUAAAUUUACAUAUCAAAAUAUCGUGGAUGUAGAAUAGGCUAGACUUUACAUGUAGGAGGUGCCAAGUAAUAUUUUCAUGCUGCCUACCAGUAAUGAGGAAUGAUGAUCCAUGUAAAGCCUAGGUUUUAAUCUUCUAUCACCUACUUUUACCAGCCACCAUGAGCCUGACUUUAAUAAGGCUUUUCUGUUAUGUCAAAGAGUUCCCAGUUUUUUUUUUACUAGUGUAUCCUUUCUCCCAUCAGUGGAAUCAUGAUUUGUGGAAUAUUUCUUUUUUAAUCUGCUCUCAUUUGCUUUUACUUUUACUAACUACUGUGAUCCCUAUUUCCUACACCUACAGUGAUCUGCUAGAUCUAUCCUCUACAGAACCGUUUUACUACUCUGAAUCGAAGUUCCCUGCCUUACUCAUCGUGCUUGGUAAAUUUUUAAAAAUUGUGUAUGUAUGUAUG